AGAGUUUGAUUCUGGCUCAGAACGAACGCUGGCGGCGUGGAUAAGACAUGCAAGUCGAACGAGAGAAUUGCUAGCUUGCUAAUAAUUCUCUAGUGGCGCACGGGUGAGUAACACGUGAGUAACCUGCCCCCGAGAGCGGGAUAGCCCUGGGAAACUGGGAUUAAUACCGCAUAGUAUCGAAAGAUUAAAGCAGCAAUGCGCUUGGGGAUGGGCUCGCGGCCUAUUAGUUAGUUGGUGAGGUAACGGCUCACCAAGGCGAUGACGGGUAGCCGGUCUGAGAGGAUGUCCGGCCACACUGGAACUGAGACACGGUCCAGACACCUACGGGUGGCAGCAGUCGAGAAUCAUUCACAAUGGGGGAAACCCUGAUGGUGCGACGCCGCGUGGGGGAAUGAAGGUCUUCGGAUUGUAAACCCCUGUCAUGUGGGAGCAAAUUAAAAAGAUAGUACCACAAGAGGAAGAGACGGCUAACUCUGUGCCAGCAGCCGCGGUAAUACAGAGGUCUCAAGCGUUGUUCGGAAUCACUGGGCGUAAAGCGUGCGUAGGCUGUUUCGUAAGUCGUGUGUGAAAGGCGCGGGCUCAACCCGCGGACGGCACAUGAUACUGCGAGACUAGAGUAAUGGAGGGGGAACCGGAAUUCUCGGUGUAGCAGUGAAAUGCGUAGAUAUCGAGAGGAACACUCGUGGCGAAGGCGGGUUCCUGGACAUUAACUGACGCUGAGGCACGAAGGCCAGGGGAGCGAAAGGGAUUAGAUACCCCUGUAGUCCUGGCAGUAAACGGU
rnacentral:rRNA from 1 species